GACCAACCGCUGCAGGGUGCAGCAGGUGAGGUGGCACCGGGCUAGCGCCGGCUGCAGCCCGUGGUCUCCCGCGGUCCCGUCAGCCCUCGUAGCGCGGAGAGUUCGGGCUGAGGAGUAACUUCUGGAGGCGCUUCUGAACUUCUGUGUGCUUCGUGUGCUAUAGCGCAUCGACAGCCGUCGUGCCGGAGUCAAUUAAACAGCUGCUCUCCGUUUUGUAGUCAAUAACAACAUUUCCCUGUGCUCCCAGUGAUUAGAUAGAUAUACGUAUGCCGGGAAGGAUGGGAGCCCUGUGGAUUUGUUGAUAAUUCUGUUUUUCGCAGGACGUGGUGAGAUGCGAGCAGGCACGCGCUGCGAUUCAGUUGUGCGUCGUGGUGGCACGGGGUGCCCACCUCAGUGUGAAGCAGCAGGCAUGUGGCAUCUCUGAACCUGCUCAUCUGCGCUGGUGGUAAUGAAGGAGCUUAAAGGGCUUGUUGCCCAAGCCAGUUUUCCCGUGUGUUGCUUUUGCUUUGAUGAUAGUGGAAAUAUUACAUACUAAACCAGGUUCUUUACAUUUGGAGGCGCUGUGCUUCACUAGAGCGGUGGCAUGACUUCUGGUUCCUCCCUUUCCAAUAAAAUUACCCAGCGAAGCUUGAGGUCGCUGGCUGUAGGCAGGUUUUAGUGGUUAGAUGCAGGGGAGUCUUCACCGUGCGGGGCAUCUUUGAAUAAAGGUCUUAGUUGUGGAAAGAAAAGCAUCUUUCCAUUCUUUUUCAGUUACUAAUUACAAGAAAAUUCUGAACCUUUCUUGUACCUUAUCCAAACUGUAAGAGAGAGUUGCCCAGGGCAUUCCCUAGGCCUGGCUGGGGGAACACUGGAACACUGUACGCUCAGCCUGGCUAUGAGUAUGUCAGCUGAACGUAGAUGGAGCUGCACGGCCAUGAGGCAUGGACAGGCUCCUGAUGACUGAUCCUUUAAUGUGUGCUUUCCCGUUUGGCUUGACAGGUGAUGAUACCUGUGUGGCUUUCCUUUCCAAAGUGAUGAUGGUUCCGGGGAGACUUUGUUUCCUUCACACAUCCCUGCCUUGUAGAAUAAUUACAAGAUGAUUCCUCAGUCAGCGUGUUGAGGUGCUUGAGUUAUUUAAAUAUUGACACUUAGAGCCAAGUUUGGUCUAAAUUUCAAAAGUACCUCGGGGAAAACAUGUUUGGCAGCUUUGAGAAGAACUUCAAAGCUACCUGACUCUGUAGGCCAGUGAAGAGUUGUGUCUCCACUGCAGACUUCCACUCACGUACUUUUACUGAUCAGUAGUGAGGAUGUGUGGUCCCUGGGCAGUUCAGGGGAGCUGACGGAAGUCUCUGAAGUAGAUAAACUUAUCCUGGUUUAUGAUGGAGUGUUUGAGAGAAAGGAGGACAAUUCUAAUAGAAGAUUAACAGCAUCAAGGCAAGCCUACAGAAUUACUGACAGAUAGCAUCCACGAGGAAAUUCCAAUGCUUCUCAGCUUAACUGCUUAUUUUAGCCCCACUUAUUUUAAAGGAGGUGGAGAUGCUGUUCUGUGAAAUGAAGGGAAAACAUACUAGUAAAUACUUUUAGAUUGAAUUACCUGAAGUGAUUAAAAUCAAAUAAGUUUUAUUUGGAUGUUUAUAUAUAUAUAUAUAUAUUUGUGUGUAUUAGGCACUAAAUUUUGGUCAAACCAUUUCCACUAGUUCUGUAUGAUUUUUUUCUGAGAGAAAGUGUGCUUUAGCAGAGCAUGACUAGCUUCAUAUAAGAUCUGGGUUUCAAAUUGGCACCGAAUAUAUCAAUUCCUUCCUGUUCUGAUUGUCCAGUGUAUCUCAAAGUGGUGGCUUGCCUGCACAGAUUGGCUGCUCAGGGUGUUUCUGACCUUCAGAACUGAUCCCCUCAGCUGUCAGCACUGCCCUUUGCUAAAAAGUUGCAAACCUGUAAAUGCGACAGGCUUGUAUCUGUGUCUGUGUUUCACCUUGGGAGUUCUCAACCUGAUGGAUCGUAUUCAGCCUGCGCGCCAUGCUGCAGCAGCUGUGUAGGCACCUACAUAGCUGUGCUUCUGCUGCCCUGCUCUGAGACACCAGCUAGAUGGGCAGGGAGUGGGGCUGCUUUUAGGAACAGCUUUCAUUGCUCACCCACUCAUCAGCUAGACCCCGCAUUUGUUAGGAUGCUGUGUUAAAGCUAAGCCAGGGGCUUGAAGCAGGAGCACUGAAGGGUUAGCGCUGCAUGUUUGAUAACUGCUGCUGUCAGUCAGCAAUGUGCACAUUGCAGUUUGUGGCUCCUUGUCCUGAAACAAGAGCUCUCUUCUUUGUGUAGAUAAAGGGCAAGUCUCUGUUAUUCUUCCUGCCCUCUCCUCCUUGACGUGGGUGCUGUGAAGAUGAGUAAUGACUGUGUGCAUUUCCAGGUGGGCUGGUAACCAGAUAUGGUUCAUUCAGAUUUAUCAGCUCCCAGGAGGAGGUUCUUUGCAGUACUGUAAAACACAAGUCUGCCGUUAACUCAACCUGCUGCUUCCAAUUGCUUCAAGAUACGUUGGCUUUAUAAAGACAGGUUUGAUGAUGGGUAAGGUAUUAUCUGUCUUUAUGUAGCUGCUUUAAAGUGAGCAUAAAGCCAGGGUGAGGUUAGCCAUGCAUAUUCAGCAGUGAUGGAGCUGUGUAUCCGCACCUGGUUCAGCUUUACACUGUAACGCCGUUGGGUCUGGAACUGCAUGCAUCCAGCGAGUGAGCAUAGAGCUGCGGCUGGAAGUGUCAGUUGUAAAUUACCAGGUGAUGGCAGAUGUCCAUUGCCUUCUGUGCGGCCAGAGGGCAUGUGAGGCUUCCUGCUGUUGGCUAGGGAAAGAACUGGGGUCGGUGUAUUUUAGCACAGAGAGCAGUAGAAAAUACCACUGGGUUUCUAAGACAGGCCUUUGGGUACUGGUGUAAAACGCAGCUUUGGCUUGUGGAUGUUUAUCCAAAUAAGUUUUACACAGAAGUCGUGAUGUGUGUUGAGCAGGGCAGUGGCUCCUGACUCAGGAGAUCUCUAUUUGCUGGCCUCAGUGGACUGGGUGUCUGCUAGCAGCAGAAGGAAUUUCUCUGCAUCUCGGUGACUUCAGCUGUCAAUUGCCUGAGUUAACACUGCAGUAAGAAUGCAUCCUGCAGAAUGUAACAGUUCAGAGCUCUUGUGUAGAUGCCGUGCUCCUGCACCCCGAGUUCUUGGAACAGCCUCUGAAACACAGAGGGAGAUUCCUGAAGCUCCUUCCCUCACCUGAGCAGCCCCAGCACUUUGUCUUGGGGUCAUUAACAGUUGAGAUUUUUUUCCUUUUUGUAAUAAAAUUGUUACUGCAAUCAAAA